GCACAUGUGGUGUAGUGGUAACACACACUUUGUAACUGCUAUAGACCACACUAUUGUGAGUGUGUCAGGGGUUCAACUCCCUAUCGGUGUA